GAUGUGAAAUAACACCUUCUCAGGGCAGAGCGAUUGACAGGCGCUGGUGUGAAGGAGAAAGAGGAGAACCGAAUCACCUUUCCCGAAUGCAGGCCAACUUUUUAAACUCAAUUCUCUAAGAGGAGGCUUCUGCGCUAAAUUUUGUGGUGUCUGCCCCUUGCCCAAAGUUCUGGAACUAUUUAGGAAGAAGGUGGACUUGUCCUGGCCAGUGUCUGGUCUCCAAGAAGCCCCUCUGCCAAGGAUCCUUUCAGAGAUGCAAGAAGCAAAGGAUUUUUGAUUGAGACAGUCGGAGGGCACCCAGGAGCUCCCAGAAAUGGGGAAGGGUGGGAAUCCGCGUGGGAUCAGCGCCCAGACGCCGCCGCCCUAGCCCUUGCGGUGGCAAGGCUGCGUGGAAGCCCACUCCCCGGCCCCGCGCCACAUUUCCUUCUGGCGCUGGGGAACAUUGUUCCAGAAAACGUGGGCUGAAUCGCGGUGCGAAUAUUAGGGGCGGGAGGAGAAGGCCCGGCGCGCCGAGCCAGUAAUCCGAGCUCUUGAUUAUCCAGAUUCGGAUCAAACGGGGCGGCGGCGGCCGGCCCCCUCCUGGGAAUGAUUAGAUGAUUAAUGUAAUGCUGUUUGAAGGGUCUCUGUUUUCUCUCUUAAUUUGGGUCAUUACUUAGAAAGCAAGCGUGAGAUCAUUUCAUCAGCGUGCUCGGCGGCGGAGAUAGCUAUUCAGGAAAUGGGCUAACUGAGCGGUAAUCAGGACGCUGGGGGCGGCGGCGGCUGCGAGCCGCAGGAGCCCGGAUGCGCCCUCCCGCGGCAGGGCGCACCGCACCCGGAGGCCGGCCUCAGACCACAGCGCGGGCCGCGGAGCCCUAAAGCUCGGAAUGCGCUGGGACACUUGGCCCCCAGUUCUCGCCGCCAGGAAUGACUGAGUGGAAGAGUGGCUCCCCUUACAUCACCCAGACAAGAGGGAAUGCCCAGAAAGCGCCCCGGCGCGGCAGUGCCCAUGCCAUCUACCCCACUGUGGUGGGGCUCUUUGCUCUAGGACACGCAUCCCAAACCUGCUCUCCAACACCUAGCCACUUUGAAUCCCUUCUUUUUAAAAAACUCACCCAAAUAUGGCAACACCCAGAAUCCCUUGGUCAGAACAGUUAGCAAAUAAAAACUUGGUACAACGUGAGGGCCGUUGUAGGCCUUUACAUCCUUGGUUCCUGGGGGGAUCUGAACACGUUAGCGUGGCAGGAGGACCGAUCUGGCCUCACCCUGGUUC
ensembl:lncRNA